rnacentral:rRNA from 1 species
CAGCAGCCGCGGUAAUACGUAGGGUGCGAGCGUUAAUCGGAUUUACUGGGCGUAAAGCGUGCGCAGGCGGCCCGUUAAGACAGGUGUGAAAUCCCUGGGCUCAACCUAGGAAUUGCGCUUGUGACUGGCGGGCUCGAGUACGGUAGAGGGGGGUGGAAUUCCUGGUGUAGCAGUGAAAUGCGUAGAGAUCAGGAGGAACACCGAUGGCGAAGGCAGCCCCCUGGGCCUGUACUGACGCUCAUGCACGAAAGCGGGGGGAGCAAACAGGAUUAGAUACCCUGGUAGUCCACGCCCUAAACGAUGGGUACUAGCCGUUUGGUGCGCGAUAGCGCUGAGUGGCGAAGCUAACGCGUGAAGUACCCCGCCUGGGGAGUACGGCCGCAAGGUUGAAACUUAAAGGAAUUGGCGGG